CAAUCCUAGCAUUUUGGUGCCUCACACGAUUAGUAGAGGCAAUUUUGGCCUCUGUUGGUGAUUUCUGUCCCUUUUUCCAUUCCAUUUCAAUUCAGUUUUCAUUCCAAUACAUUCUUACAAAUUAAUUCAACAUCAUUCAUCAUUCCAAACAUCAUAAAACAACAACUUAAAUAUAGAAAAAUUCUCAUGAAUGCAGACACACCACGUUUAUGUUAAAACCAUUAUCACAGCUUCAAUUUAUUAAAAUUUUAUCGAUCUAAAGCAUGUCUAAAAUCCAAUACUUGAAAUAACUGGAUUACCAUUCAUCUUACCUCAAAAAAGAUGAUUAUUUGGCCUUAAAUGCAUGAGUAGAAGAAUUCAGAAAUAGAAAAACUAAUUUGCAACUCGCUUGGGUAGCAGUUGCAGAAGCAGUUGUGAACUUUUGGAUUAGUUUUUUGUUUUAAGAGUCAUUCUACGCCUAAAAUUGUUUCCUAAUAUUCCUAAGAUCUUAAUCUUUUCAUAGGCUACUUGAAAUUGAAGAAAAAUUAAAGAUAGAAAAGGAAUUGGAAAGGAAAUAGGAGGAUUACACGUUCGAAUUGCGUCUUCGGGUGCAGUAGAGGAAAUGCUUUAGACCGAAGUUUAUUGCAAUUUUUUUGGGUUCUUGUAGCUGCUAACAGGCAUGUUUAGAUACCAAGGAAAGAAUGAAGGAUGCAAUAUAGGGGAAUUAAAGCUUACCUUAACCAAAAAAAGGUGAAAUCUCCUCCUACAGACUCGCACCUCUCCUCCUUGCGUGCUCUAGUUUCUAUCUUAUUUUCUCACUCAAACUUCAUCUUCUGAUUUCUCCCUAAAUUGUUUAUUUUUCACUCCUAAUCGUCUAACUCUCUCUUUCUCUAAUCGAAUGGGGAAGAAAGAAGUCAAAUGGAAGCUUUUAAAUUGGAUUUUUAGCAACUAUUGGUCCUUAAAUUGCAUUCAAGCAAUCUUAGCCAUUAUUGUCCAAGAGUGGCUGAUAGCAUGUAAGGGAGAAAGUUCGAGUUUGACAAUUGGCUGGGCAGCUGGCCUCCUCUGCUAGGUGGCCAGAACACCUCCAUAAAUGAGUUUACGUGGCGUCAAGUUGGAGCCAAAUCUGGAGGGUAUCAGCUAGCAGUUUUGCUAUACGUGGGAAAACUUUCUGCAAGCUAGUAAGUUAUUCCACCCAUAUGCUCGCGGGCAAGGCACGCACACGAUGCCCUCACGUGUGUCCACGACCACCCACUUGCAAACUAACACACAUUCCUCUGUGUGUUUGCGAUCUGUCAAGCUUACAGGCAUGGCAGAUGGAAUUUCUCGCAUGCCCACUACCUGGCAUGCCCGCAGGUUGGCAAUCUCAUUGGUGGGGGAUUUAAAAUCCUAUGGUUGUCCUGAUUUAAAAAAAAAUAAAAAUAGAUGUAUUUUUUAAAUUAAAUAAUUAAAAACGAAUAAUUUUCAUUAACAUUACAAUAACACAUGUGAAAAUUAACUCUUUUAUUGAUUGUUUGAAUUUUUAUAACAUUGGUUGUUACAUACAACAAGUAUACAUGAUUAAAAAUCUAUUAAAUUCAAUUCUGUCCAAUUUCUAAGCCUUUCCCAAUGGUUUAAACCAUUUGGACAGGCAACCACAAUUGAUUUUAAAACCAGAUUACCAACCAUUCUUUAACUUGUUCAAACUCAGUGAAAAAGUGAUUAUUUUUCAGUUUAAAAACUCCUUUCUCAAUAGACAUCAAGGAUCACUACUCGAUAUUCUUUCAAACUCCUAUGCAAAAAGAAUUGGUUUAAAGCUUCAAAUAUGGCUCUAAAAUCACUUCGAGACCUAUCAAAAUAUUCAGACUUCUCAAGUCAAUAUGAGCCCAAGAAUUUGGGGAAAUUUUUCAAUUAAACUGGCUAUUGCUUGGCUAGUUCGAUAUUCCUAGGUGUUUUACUACAUGUAAACUAUUUUUAGAACUCAAAAUCUAGCUUAAAUGGAAUUAAAAAGCUAAAAAAAAUCAUGAAUGAAGUGUCGAGUUCGACCACUUACCAGAAAGGAAAUGGGUUGUCUAAGACCUGGCUUAAUUUCUCAAUAUCCAACAAAUUUUCUGGUUUCUAGGUGGUCAAAAAUUGUUUCCCAUCCACAGUGGUCACUCUCUCACUAUUUUUGUUUCCUCUUUCUCUUGAAUUUUGGCUCACACAGAUGAGCUUAUCUCCUGUUUCGGGUUUUUUCUGCCCAUUGAAGCGAAGAAGAAGAAGAAGGUCAACAUUUUCAAGGGCAAGGGAAACCAUAAAGAUCCGGGCCAUCGAUCUGCAUGCAGUGUUUCUCAGUCGUUUGAUUAGAUUUAUUGUCGAGGGCAUUUUCAUAAAAUUUCUUGCAUUUUAAAUUUCGACUAUUAGAUCAAACCUGUAUGCAAUCUGGGUCGUUGGUUUC
rnacentral:lncRNA from 1 species